rnacentral:rRNA from 1 species
UACGUAGGGUGCAAGCGUUGUCCGGAUUUAUUGGGUUUAAAGGGUGCGUAGGCGGUCUAUUAAGUCAGUAUUUAAAUUUUGCAGCUUAACUGUAGGUAUGGUAUUGAUACUGGUGGACUUGAAUAUUAAUGAGGUAGCUGGAAUUUAUGGUGUAGCGGUGAAAUGCAUAGAUACCAUAAGGAACACCGAUAGCGUAGGCAUGUUACCAAUUGAUAAUUGACGCUGAGGCACGAAAGUGUGGGGAUCAAACAGG